rnacentral:lncRNA from 1 species
GGAGCCCGGCCUCUUCUCCUGGGGUGAGCGCGGGCGGCCGGAGCUCGCGGAGCGCCCGCUGGGGGCGGCUCCCAGCCCCCGCUCACAGCCCCGCUCUCUUCCAGAGCCACCCAGCUCCCUGCUGCCUGUCGUCCUCGGGGUGGUCGUCGCUGUGGUCGCCAUCAUCGCGGUGAUCGCCUUCUUUGUGGUCUGCAAGAGCAGAUGGGGGAGGAAGGAGAAGGGGUACCUAAUGACCAAAGGUGAGUGCCGGGGCCGCUCCGUCCCAGGCCGCGCCUGGCAGCGGGGUGGCAUUUGCUCUCUGGUUUCUGGCGGCCGCAGGGCUGGCUCGUCCCGUCCCCCGCCUGCCCCCAUCUCCCCUCUUCCACGCCCCGCAGCUUUUCCCUGGCUACGGGGCAGGGAAAGGGUUGGCGUCCCGCCGCUGGAGGCUGAGGCGCCUGGGCGCUGCCCUCUGCUCCUGGCGCCCGUGAGGCAGCUCCAGGGCCGGGUCCCAGCCCGGCAGUCUGCCCCGGCCAGGCUUUGCCCGCAGCCGGCGUGGGGCCCGCAGUGCCGCUGGCACAGGGCCGGGGCUCACUGCUGCUCCUCUCUCGCAGGCCACGACGGGGCAUCCAGCAGCUCUGAAACGGGCAGCAAUGCCGCCGUUUAAGCAUUCCGUCCUGGACUUGUCCUGGUGGCUCUCUUCGCACAAGAACACUUUCUGCGGUGGCGCUCUCUGACCAAGAACGCUGUUUUUUUGGUGCAUCUCGUUGCACAGGAACGUUGUUUUUAGGUGUGUCUGUCACCACAACAAUGCUGUUUUCUGACUGUACUGCACUCGAGGUCAGUGAAUUCUCCAGAGCCCCAGCUGCCAUCUGGGCAUCCUUCAAGGCCCGGCCCCGUGGGGCAGCCCCCCACUGGGGUGUGGGGGGGUCCGGCUCCACAGAGCGCGAGGGGGGAGAGCCGGAGGCACCCCCUGUUUGGUCCCGAGGCCCGGCCCCCUCCGGGCUGGAGCGAGUCCUGGUGCUUUCACCCACAGGGCGGCACUGGGUGGUCGGGGGGGAUGGAGCCUGCGCCCGCCCGGGCCGCUUCCUGCUGUCCUGGCCCGGGCGCUGGGGCCCCGGUGAGGACGAGGACGGCGGGCGCCGGGGCAGAGGAGCCCGGGCUCCCGGCCUGCCAGUGGCGCCCGCGGCGAGAGGCAGAGGCUGAGACCAGGCACAGCUCAGCGCAGGCGCCUCCCCCGCCCCCCGCCGCAGCA